CAGAUUGAACGCUGGCGGCAGGCCUAACACAUGCAAGUCGAGCGGUAGCACAAGAGAGCUUGCUCUCUGGGUGACGAGCGGCGGACGGGUGAGUAAUGUCUGGGAAACUGCCUGAUGGAGGGGGAUAACUACUGGAAACGGUAGCUAAUACCGCAUAACGUCUUCGGACCAAAGUGGGGGACCUUCGGGCCUCACGCCAUCAGAUGUGCCCAGAUGGGAUUAGCUAGUAGGUGGGGUAAUGGCUCACCUAGGCGACGAUCCCUAGCUGGUCUGAGAGGAUGACCAGCCACACUGGAACUGAGACACGGUCCAGACUCCUACGGGAGGCAGCAGUGGGGAAUAUUGCACAAUGGGCGCAAGCCUGAUGCAGCCAUGCCGCGUGUGUGAAGAAGGCCUUCGGGUUGUAAAGCACUUUCAGCGAGGAGGAAGGGUAGUGUGUUAAUAGCACAUUGCAUUGACGUUACUCGC
rnacentral:rRNA from 1 species